ensembl:lncRNA
UCAUAUCAAGUUUUUUAUUAAACAUGUCUAGAAUGUCACGUUGUAAUUCUUGUAUAUCUAAUGUAAUAUUUCCUUGAUUUAGUAAAUGUCGUUUAACCUUAUCCCAGUUGAAAGCUGCUUGAUUAUAUUUAUAAUUUUUAGUAAAAUUAAAAGUUGCCUUAGGAUCGUUUAAGUUGUAUUCAGUAUAACAGCCAUAGGUGUCUUCCAAAUCUCAUUAUGUACUGGGUGAUGGAUAAGUUGAGGAAUGGGGGGAGCAAAUCCCUCUCCUUGCCAUAUCAAAGAUGCAUUUCCAUACGUACCAAGUGUGUCAUUAUGAUAUAUCCAUGGACUAGAGAUAUUUGUUCCUUUAAUCUUAGGGGUUCGUCUAGGGCCCCAAUCUAUAGUCUGUCCCUCAGGAGUAUUUAGUAACAGAUGACCUUCAGACCGUCUACCAUUUUUCCACUGGAUCCAGUCCUCCAUCCACACCAUGUCCUAUUCUUAAAGCAUAGCCUGGAAGAUUAGGAGGACUAUAAUGUAUGGUGGAAUUUUCUCUUUCUUUAAAAGUAAGUGCUGUUAAUAAGAAAAAAGUGUUCUUAUUCUCGCCAGGCUUUUCUACAAUAGAAAGCCAUCCCUGGAAUCCUAUCUUUAAACAGAAUUCUCCAAAUCCUAUACAAAUGGAUGUGCUGUCUGUUCUUACUGUAUAAUUUUUUAGAGAUCGUCCUUCUUCUUCCUUUUGUAAAGGAAGGCUUUGAUCAUAAGGACCAGGAAAGCCAGGCUGAUUCAUUGACAAAUAUAGGAAUACUGAAUCUUCCUAUGUAAUGGGUCUUAAUAAAUGAGGAUCGGGAAUAUAUGCCCAAUAAUGACUGGAAUCAGCUUGAACACUUACCGACACUGUGAUAAGGGUUACCAUAGCGAGUAGUAGAUUGGCAGAUGUUUUUGGACGGCCAUGAUGAUGAACUAGGCUCUCAGCGUCCUGUGAUAACUUCUUUAUCUGACCCCAAGUGGGUAUUGUAGCAGUUCACGUUCGCUUGGUCUUGGCAGGCCCAAGUUCUAAUGUAAGGUACGGCGUGGCAGGCGUCCGAGGUCGGGAGGGUGGGUCUAUGUCAAAUCAUGUUUUUUUUCUUUCCAGUACCAGAUUCUCCUCCUCAGGAUCCAUCGGUGUUCAUUUUCCUCUAUUAAGACAAGAGCAUCCCCUCUUCCUUAUUUAAGCAUGACACCCUGCUUCCGUCCCCUGUCCUCUUCCCACAAUAUUUUUUGCCAAACCUCUUAUA